AUUGAACGCUGGCGGCAGGCCUAACACAUGCAAGUCGAGCGGGGUUUUCGGACCUAGCGGCGGACGGGUGAGUAAUGCGUAGGAAGCUACCCGAUAGAGGGGGAUACCAGUUGGAAACGACUGUUAAUACCGCAUAAUGUCUACGGACCAAAGUGUGGGACCUUCGGGCCACAUGCUAUCGGAUGCGCCUACGUGGGAUUAGCUAGUUGGUGAGGUAAUAGCUCACCAAGGCGACGAUCCCUAGCUGGUUUGAGAGGAUGAUCAGCCACACUGGAAAUGAGACACGGUCCAGACUCCUACGGGAGGCAGCAGUGGGGAAUAUUGGACAAUGGGCGCAAGCCUGAUCCAGCCAUGCCGCGUGUGUGAAGAAGGCCUUCGGGUUGUAAAGCACUUUCAGUUGGGAGGAAGGGUUGUGUGUUAAUAGUACACAGCCUUGACGUUACCAACAGAAGAAGCACCGGCUAACUCUGUGCCAGCAGCCGCGGUAAAAC
rnacentral:rRNA from 1 species